GACGAACGCUGGCGGCGUGCUUAACCCAUGCAAGUCGAACGAAGUGGCGAACGGGUGAGUAACGCGUAAUCAACCUGCCCUUCAGAGGGGGACAACAGUUUGAAACGACUUCUAAUACCGCAUACUGAAGUAGGGGAUUUCGUCUGAUUAGCUAGGUGGAGGGGUAACGGCCCAACAAGGCGAUGAGCAGUAGCUGGUCUGGGAGGAUGAACGGCCAAAUUGGGAACGAGAAACGGCCCAGAAUCAUACGGGAGGCAGCAGGGGGGAAUCUUCCGCAAUGGACGAAAGUCUGACGGAGCAACGCCGCGUGAGGGAUGACGGCCUUCGGGUUGUAAAGCUCUGUUAAUCGGGACGCGGUACCGGAAUAGAAAGCCACGGCUAACUACGUGCCAGCAGCCGCGGUAAUUC
rnacentral:rRNA from 1 species